AUGUCCGGACAGCUUGGAAGCAGAGAACGAUAGGCGACUGUGCACCUAAGUGAAGAACUAUCCGAAAACUUCUUCAGUGGAGUGCCGAAUCUACUUCCCUGAGUUUGGAAUCACAUUAACUGUUCCAACAUUGUCAUCGGAUGGUCCAGUCCUGGAGCUUAUGACUACUCUGGUGACGGAGCAACGCUGCUGCCACAGACGUUCUUCUGCUGCAUCUCAGAUCAACUACCUGCCGUUUGCCUUUGUGUGGAUGGUUCCAGCGUGAACGAGGAAUACAACCGUGGAGUGUAGUACUGCUCUGGCCAUGAAGACGUGGUGUUGGCACCACAUUGUCUUGCAGCGGCUGCUCAGGUGAACAUGUAACUAUAGUUAUAAUAAUUUGCUUUUA
rnacentral:lncRNA from 1 species